rnacentral:rRNA from 1 species
AAGCUUGCUUUGAAGAUGACGAGUGGCGGACGGGUGAGUAAUACUUAGGGAUCUGCCUUAUGGAGGGGGACAACAGUUGGAAACGACUGCUAAUACCGCAUAACACCUGAGGGUCAAAGUGGGCACUUGUUGCUCGCGCCAUAAGAUGAACCUAAGCGAGAUUAGCUAGUUGGUAGGGUAAAGGCCUACCAAGGCGACGAUCUCUAACUGGUCUGAGAGGAUGAUCAGUCACACUGGAACUGAGACACGGUCCAGACUCCUACGGGAGGCAGCAGUGGGGAAUAUUGCACAAUGGGGGGAACCCUGAUGCAGCCAUGCCGCGUGUGUGAAGAAGGCCUUCGGGUUGUAAAGCACUUUCAGCGAGGAGGAAAGGAUUGUGGUUAAUACCCACAAUCUGUGACGUUACUCGCAGAAGAAGCACCGGCUAACUCCGUGCCAGCAGCCGCGGUAAUACGGAGGGUGCGAGCGUUAAUCGGAAUUACUGGGCGUAAAGCGCAUGCAGGCGGUUGAUUAAGCUAGAUGUGAAAGCCCGGGGCUCGACCUCGGAACAGCAUUUAGAACUGUUCGACUAGAGUAUUGUAGAGGGGGGUAGAAUUUCAGGUGUAGCGGUGAAAUGCGUAGAGAUCUGAAGGAAUACCAGUGGCGAAGGCGGCCCCCUGGACAAAUA